GAGAGUCUGUGGCUACAGUAGUGUGCUUGAUGAAAAAUUUUUUUUAUAAAGAUCACAAUUGGACUUGAGCUGAUCAAAUCUAUUAUAUGACUGAUGAUGAAGUUUGACGAUUUAUCUAUGAUCAGUCAUCUAGUCGAAACUCACGAUAGAGGGACUAAAUCACACAUGAAUUAUACCUUGAGGUUCUUUUUCGGUUCUACUGGAUUGCCACUACAUACUACUAGGUGUCACUG
rnacentral:lncRNA from 1 species